UCACAUUUCCUUCUUCUCCCGCCUGAGCUCUAGGACUUGGUUUCUUCUUCAGCAAAUAGCAUGUGCCCGCGGUUGUUGGUAGCAUCAAUGUUCUGCUGCUUUGCCGACAGCACGUCAGGUGGUUCUCUUUUUUCCGUUAUAAAUUAUUUUUCUGUUGUAGUUUCUUUAUUACACGGGCAUCGUGGUUAAAUAAAAUUAAAAAAAUUAUAAAGAUGAGAAUAGAUUUUUUUUCAUCAUAUAAAAUGAGACACAGACGUCAUAAACUAGUAAUAGAAGAUAAUGUUGAUGACACAGGAUAUCAUAAAUUAGUAACAGAAUAUCGUAACUGCUAUUAAAAUGUCAUAUAAAGUAGCAAAAAAUUAUAAACAAACAACAGGAUGUCAUAUAAAUCUAUCGGAAAGUCAUAUAAUGCAGCGGA
rnacentral:lncRNA from 1 species